GAUGAACGCUGACAGAAUGCUUAACACAUGCAAGUCUACUUGAAUUUGGGUUUUUAACUUAGGUUUGGGUGGCGGACGGGUGAGUAACGCGUAAAGAACUUGCCUCACAGCUAGGGACAACAUUUAGAAAUGAAUGCUAAUACCUAAUAUUAUGAUAAUAGGGCAUCCUAUAAUUAUGAAAGCUAUAUGCGCUGUGAGAGAGCUUUGCGUCCCAUUAGCUAGUUGGAGAGGUAACGGCUCACCAAGGCGAUGAUGGGUAGCCGGCCUGAGAGGGUGAUCGGCCACAAGGGGACUGAGACACGGCCCUUACUCCUACGGGAGGCAGCAGUGGGGAAUAUUGGACAAUGGACCGAGAGUCUGAUCCAGCAAUUCUGUGUGCACGAUGAAGUUUUUCGGAAUGUAAAGUGCUUUCAGUUGGGAAGAAAGAAAUGACGGUACCAACAGAAGAAGUGACGGCUAAAUACGUGCCAGCAGCCGCGGUAAAGA
rnacentral:rRNA from 1 species